UGUUAUGAUGCUCCUCCCAUCCAUGGACCACAGCGCUCUUACCUCACUGCCAACCCCACCUCUUCCCCCAGUUCCUCCCCUCCUUUUUCGAUAUACGCAUCAUCCAUUACAGAUUUAAUCAUUUCCACACAACACUGCAUCAAUUAAUUCAACAAUUCGCAUUAUAUCCCAUUCUGUGAAGAUCUCUGACUCCUCAACAACUUCUGUGAGAGGAACCUUUUGCAUAUUCGUCCCAUCUGUUUUCGUCUUCCUGUGGUAUCUCUCAUCUCGGCUGCCUGCCUGCCAACCAUUUCUGCCAUGAAGUGGGGAUGUUUCCUACAGGCUUUGCAAUGCAUAUGGAGAGCCCUCUUCUAACACACAAUAUAUAAG
ensembl:lncRNA